rnacentral:tRNA from 2 species
GGGUCUGUAGCUUAAUUGGGAAAGCAUCGAUCUGGCAGAUCGAGAGAUGUCGGUUCAAGUCCGACCAGUAUCCA